rnacentral:rRNA from 1 species
UAAUACGUAGGGACCAAGCGUUGUUCGGAUUUACUGGGCGUAAAGGGCGCGUAGGCGGCAAUUCAAGUCAGUUGUGAAAUCUCCGAGCUUAACUCGGAACGGUCAACUGAUACUGCUUUGCUAGAGUACAGAAGGGGCAAUCGGAAUUCUUGGUGUAGCGGUGAAAUGCGUAGAUAUCAAGAGGAACACCUGAGGUGAAGACGGGUUGCUGGGCUGAUACUGACGCUGAGGCGCGAAAGCUAGGGUAGCAAACGGGAUUAGAUACCCCGGUAGUCCUAGCCCUAAACGAUGAAUACUUGGUGUCUGGAGUUUUAAUUCUCCGGGUGCCGUCGCUAACGUUUUUAGUAUUCCGCCUGGGGAGUACGCACGCAAGUGUG